GAUGAACGCUGACAGAAUGCUUAACACAUGCAAGUCCACUUGAACUUCGGUUUGGGUGGCGGACGGGUGAGUAACGCGUAAAGAACUUGCCUCACAGAUAGGGACAACAUUUGGAAACGAAUGCCAAUACCUGAUAUUAUGAUUUUAGGGCAUCCUAGGAUUAUGAAAGCUAUAUGCGCUGUGAGAGAGCUUUGCGUCCCAUUAGCUAGUUGGAGAGGUAACGGCUCACCAAGGCGAUGAUGGGUAGCCGGCCUGAGAGGGUGAUCGGCCACAAGGGGACUGAGACACGGCCCUUACUCCUACGGGAGGCAGCAGUGGGGAAUAUUGGACAAUGGACCAAGAGUCUGAUCCAGCAAUUCUGUGUGCACGAUGAAGUUUUUCGGAAUGUAAAGUGCUUUCAGUUGGGAAGAAAAAAAUGACGGUACCAACAGAAGAAGUGACGGCUAAAUACGUG
rnacentral:rRNA from 1 species